GGCCAGUUAGCUCAGUGGAUUGAGUGCGGUGCUGACAACAAUGACAACACCAAGGUCGCGGGUUCGAUUCCCGCUCGGUCCC
rnacentral:tRNA from 1 species